rnacentral:rRNA from 1 species
UACGGAGGGUGCAAGCGUUAUCCGGAUUUACUGGGUUUAAAGGGUGUGUAGGCGGACUUUUAAGUCAGCGGUGAAAUCUCCGGGCUCAACCCGGAAACUGCCAUUGAUACUAUUGGUCUUGAAUGUUGUUGAGGUGGGCGGAACGGGUCAUGUAGCGGUGAAAUGCAUAGACAUGACAUAGAAUACCGAUUGCGAAGGCAGCUCGCUAACCGAUCAUUGACGCUGAGGCACGAAAGCGUGGGGAGCAAACAGG